GACGAACGCUGGCGGCGUGCUUAACACAUGCAAGUCGAACGAUGAACUUGGAGCUUGCUCUGGGGGAUUAGUGGCGAACGGGUGAGUAACACGUGAGUAACCUGCCCUGGACUCUGGGAUAACUUCGAGAAAUCGGAGCUAAUACCGGAUAGGACCUUGCACCGCAUGGUGUGGGGUGGAAAGUUUUUCGGUUUGGGAUGGACUCGCGGCCUAUCAGCUUGUUGGUGAGGUAAUGGCUCACCAAGGCGUCGACGGGUAGCCGGCCUGAGAGGGUGACCGGCCACACUGGGACUGAGACACGGCCCAGACUCCUACGGGAGGCAGCAGUGGGGAAUAUUGCACAAUGGGCGCAAGCCUGAUGCAGCAACGCCGCGUGCGGGAUGACGGCCUUCGGGUUGUAAACCGCUUUUAGUAGGGAAGAAGCCUUCGGGUGACGGUACCUGCAGAAAAAGGACCGGCUAACCACGUGCCAGCCGCCGCCGGUAACAC
rnacentral:rRNA from 1 species